CCCUUAGAUGUUCUGGGCCGCACGCGCGCUACACUGAUGCAGUCAACGAGUUUUUUUCCUAGGCCGGAAGGUCCGGGUAAUCUUUUCAAACUGCAUCGUGCUGGGGAUAGAUUAUUGCAAUUAUUAAUCUUCAACGAGGAAUUCCUAGUAAGCGCGAGUCAUCAGCUCGCACUGAAUACGUCCCUGCCCUUUGUACACACCGCCCGUCGCUCCUACCGAUCGGAUACUCCGGUGAAGUUUUUGGACCGUGUGUUGUAGCUUGGCAACAGGCCGCGACGCUGCGGGAAGUUGACUGAACCUUAGUAUCUAGAGGAAGGAGAANUCGUANCA
rnacentral:rRNA from 1 species